GAAGCAGCACCUCCAAAAGCUGCCCCUCCAUGAAACCUUGAAAGGCAGCAUCAAGCCAGGCGGCCUGCUCGGGGGGAUCCCCAUCGUCGGAGGCCUCGUGAACAGCCUGCUGGACAGCAUCUUGGGAGUGAGAAUCAAGAAUGUGGAGCUCCUCAAGCUUGACAUCCAGUUUGAUGAAAGAGAGAAACAUAUUUUCAUAACGAUCCCGGCGGACCUGGAGGUGGAGAUACACCUGCCACUCCACUUGGGCCGGCUUCUUCGCAUCAAAUUGUUCCUGGAUGUCCAGGUUGGAGUCCAGCUAUUCACUGACCCAAGCAC